GUGUGGCCCCAGUCUCCUUAAUGCCACCCUGUUACCCUGUUAAGGACUUUAGGCAAUCAGUUCAUGUUUACUGAAUACCUAUUACCUCCCACCGGCUGACAGCCAUGUAAACUAUAAUGCUGUCAUGCAGAUAUAACACAGGUGAGGGGAUUCUACCUUUGCCUGGGAGAGCUAAUGAUGGCCUUAUGGAGGAAGAGCUAUUUUAGUUGUCUUGAGUGCCAAGUAGCCAGGGAAGAAAAGCCACACAGGAAGCAGAACCAAGCAAAGCAUUUUGCUAGAGGAGACAGGGAUGAGAGAUGGAUACACAAAAAGUUCCUGCCAAAGGGGGAUUUCACAGUGAAUGUGAUGGAAUCCAGAUUUUUUAAAAAAAAUAUUUACUUAUAAACUCUUAGUUGCAGCAUGCAGGAUCUAGUCCCUGAUGCCAUCCAACCUGAGUUCAACAGGGGUUGAACUCAGGCCCCCUGGGUUGGGAGCCAGGAGUCUUAGCCACUGGACCACCAGGGAAGUUCCAGGAAACCAGAGUCUUCCAUGUAUCCUUCCAGGGGGGCUGAGUUUAGUGUGAUGAGACCAAGGUUGAUCAGUUUAAGAAAUCAUCUGGGGUUAGCCUAGUUCUUUGGCUGAAGGAGCCUCUUUUAUUCAGAGUGACUGCAUGAUCAAUCCAAAUGGAAUUUCUGCUUUACCAAAAGCCACACCCAUGGUGCGUGGGAGGGAUGCUGGUGAAAGAGACUUCCUCAUACAAUCUACUGUGCCCUCGUUUUUACCAGAAAGAUUCAUUGCAGGUGUGAGAGAAUGUUGGGAGGACUGAAGACUAAAAUGGGAGGAGAGAUGAAGAUGUGGACAGUUUUAAUUCCUGACGGUUGUUCUCCAUUCUAACUUGUGCCUCUCCAUCGCAAUGCAGGGUGACUGUCUUCCAGAUGAAAAUCUCUCGCACUCAGAGCUGAUAUCUCUUGUCCACAAAGGACCUGUGUGCAUACUUAUGACAGCUGUUAUAUGCAUUUCUGAACUAAUAUAUGCAAAGUACUUGGAAA